CAUGCUGGUCGGAUGAUCGCGUCGGGAGUGCCGUCAAGGGUACUACUCGCCGAGGAAAGUCCGGGCUCCUUGGACAAGCUGCCAGGUAACUCCUGGGCACGGCCUCGCGGCUGUGACGGAUAGUGCCACAGAAAACAAACCGCCGGUUUUUCGAAACCGGUAAGGGUGAAAAGGUGGGGUAAGAGCCCACCGCGCCAGCGGUAACGUUGGCGGCACGGUAAACCCCAGCUGGAGCAAGGCCAAAUAGGCGGCGAGAGACAGUCCUUCUCGACCAAGACGCCGCGGGUUGGCUGCUAGAGCGUGCUGGUGACAUCACGCCGAGAGGAAUGAUCAUCCGGAUCCCAGGAUCCGACAGAACCCGGCUUACAGGCCAGCAUGUAUC
rnacentral:RNase_P_RNA from 2 species